AACCAAAAAAUAUAUAUAUAAAUUGCAUAGUUUUGAACACAUCAUACUAAGUAAAAUAAGCUAAACAUUGAAGGACAAACGGGGUGUGAUUCCAUGCACCUGAGGUGCCUAGAGGAGUCCACACGCAAAGGCAGAAAGAGGAAGAGUCUAUCGUGGGGGUGGGGUGGGACAGAGCAAGUGGAUGCCAAGGAGCUUGGGCUCAACGCAGAUGUUCAUUCUCCAGCCCUCCACUCCCUGGGCAUCCUCACUCACCCAACAGUGAUGAUGGGACAGGCUAUUGCUUUGGCAAGUAAAAGAUAUGCCAGUGUGACGCCCAGGGGGUUCCCCAGCCUAGGGGUGCAAUCAAGCACUCAGGUCAGCAUCUAGGGGCAGAGAAGAUGUCGCUAAAUUUCAUAAUUUGUGUCAUUGGACCCGUCCUAGGGGCUCUCGGCAAGUGAUCAUCUUCCCCCCGGCCUGGCCCCCUGCAAGGGAUGCGUGAUCUCCAUCCGUUCCGGCUUGCCACACGCUGUGCAGGAGACCCCACAGCACCCACGCCAUUCCCUCUGAGGUCCUCGCUGCCCUGCUAGCGGGAGCCCGGCCCUGCCCCUCUCCCACCAUGACGACCCCAUGCUGCUCCAUCGAUGGCCUCUCCUCCAUCCCUCGGCCUGGCGGGGCCUCCUCAGUGUCCACCGUGGUGGUCCUUGCUGCAGUCCUGUGAGGGAGAAGCCCAGGCAUGUGCGUCUCGGGACUGACAUCCGGCGAAGAGCUCCUGCCCUGAGCAGACCAGCACAUCCUAACAAGGUCAAGUGUGCAUCAGGGUUCAGAGCUCUAGGGUAUAGUCCUCAAAUCUCCACCAGCAGCUCCCAAGCGGACCCUGCUCGAGCCUAGAGUCCUCUGUGGGAAAAGUAUGGGCAGGUCAGAAACAUUCAAUGGGGAACGGAAGAGGAAAGGCAGAAUGGUUGGUUUUCCUGUGUGUCACCUGAAAGGUACAUCAAAAGCUUGCUUUCUGUGUUACAGUAAAACUCCGCUUGUAUGAAAAAAAAUGUAUUUUCAUUUUAAACAAUGACAUGCAUUUGCAUGGCUUUAAAAUCUAGCAAAACUACCUGGCCCUACAAGAUUAACCAGACACCUCAGCUUCAAAUCCUCUCCUGCAGAGGGAAUCACUACAACCCCUGGUUUUUCCCUUCUUUGUUGCUUCCAUAUUUCUAAAUAGUGUGCUUAUAAUGUAUCAUCUCUAAUUUUGGACACCAUCAAUUGAUUCCUUCCUAGAGAAGACCAAACAUUCACCUCUUUUCCACUGCUAUGAACACCCCCCGCCCCCGCUGCCUGUCCCCACGUGUGAUGACAUCCCUGUCGGAUCAAUAUUCUGUGUAUUGACACAAUCUCAUGUGUGAGCACACAUUGCUGCAUGCCUCCUCGGCCCUGUUGGACACGGGGCUCAAUCCCACCAUCCGUGAGAUCAUGACAUGAACCGAAACCAAGAGUUGGACGCUCAACUGACUGCGCCACCCAGGUGCCCCCAACAAUCUUGAAGACAAGUGUUUCUCCCUAUGACUAUAUACUCAGCCAAACCAUCCAUCACGUAUUACCUCAGAUAAAAAAAAAUAGUUUUUUUUUUAAAUAGUUUUAAACAUUCACUUUCGACACACCAUUCCCAGGAAGUUAUCAGAGAAUAUAUUCCACCAAAAUAAAGAAACCGACCAAGAAAGGAGGUACAGGCUCCAGACAAUAAGGGAUCAUGAGCGUGGUGGACAGCAUUCCCCAGACAGGUGGAGGGAGGCCUGAGGCCGACUUUACCUGCCAGGUGCCACAGGUGCCACGUUAGUCUCCACGGAACGUCACCCCACGCCCUACCUUUCACCAUCUCAGUGACGGAUUUGGCACCUGCUCUUCCCUCUGUGGGGACGCCGAACAAGCUGCCUGCUUACCGGAUUUGGAGACUAUGUGGGGACAGACAAGAGCCAGGUGCAGCUGUGAGGACACCUGUGUGCACGGAACACAGCCCAGGACCCUCAGUGCUGCUGGAUCACCCGCGAGCAGACGCCCUAGGCUCACAAGCCUGUUUUCCCUCCCUCUUCCUCCCUCCUCCCACUUCUUCCCACCUCCUUCUCCCUCAUCCCUCUUCCUCCCUCCUCUUCCCUCCUCCUUCUCCCCUCGCCCCCCUUCCACCCUCUCCUCUCAGAUGUCCACACGCAGUGCCUUUGCCUGGGCACACCAGUGAGGGGAAAGGAUGACCUGAGCCUCACUCAGUUCACCAGAUGAGCAUUUGGGUGGGGGGUUCCCUCUGCUUGUCCUGAUGUCUGCUGCACGAUGAUCAAUACCGUCAAAACUUUCUAAUGGCAGAUAAACGGAACACUAAUGGCACUGUGGCUUUUGGGUCCAACUGAGUCUUAAGUGGCUGCCUUGGGUCUAUUUUUAAACCUUAUUAUCUGUUAUACUUAUGGAGUAAUUUUACUUUUGUGAAUUUUACAAUAAAGAAUUUGAUCCUUUCA